rnacentral:lncRNA from 1 species
CCUCAGCGGCCUCAGGCCUGUGCCGCGCGACUGGAGUGUCCGGCCCCCUGGCACGGCGCCGGGGCGGAGCCGCUGAAGCCAGCGCAGAAAUGAUAGGGCCAGGAAGCUGCCAGCCACGUGGGGGCGGGACCCGGGCUCUGUGGGGCGGGGCGGGUCCGGCCCAACCUCCACCGAUACUCUAGGUUGGCUUGCUCUCCUCCGAAGCUGGGUUUUGUCAAACUGCAUUCGUUCAGCAAGCAUUUAUUGCGUGCAGAUCUGGGUAGGGACGCUUGGAAUCCCAGCGGAUAGAACAGUGGCCCAAAGUCCCUGCCACCCAGGGAGUUGACGUUUUAUUGAGAAAGCCAUACAAACAACCCCAUAAACAAGUUCAUAAAGCCUAAAGCGAUGUGUAGAAAACAAACUACUGGAAGGAAGAGUAACUGGGAGAAAGGUGGAGUGGGGAGGCCAGAGCCUGCUUAGUCAGAUCAGCAGGGCAGGCCUCUGGGAAGGCGGAUUUCAACCUGAGAUGAGAGGCGCCUGCCGCGAGUGGGGAAGGCGGAUUUCAACCUGAGAUGAGAGGCGCCUGCCGCGGGUGAGGAAGUAGACCCGGCAGAGCUGAAAGUACCUGCAGAAGACCUUUGGAAAGAAGUCAGUUUGCUGAUGAGAAACCGAAACAAACUUUAUCAGGUCCAUUUCUCCCUCAGGGCUUCCUUGCCUGUUUUCAUUCAUAGCUAACUCUGGCCUUCAAGCCACACCCUGAUGUUGAAAGUCUCAUGGGCACAAGUCUCUCCGAUGUCAACAGCUAUACUUUGGUGGAGUACCUUGCUUGGAGAAGAGAGAGCUGGAGAGUCGUGUGACAUGAAGUCAGAAAACUAGAAAGGACCAGAUCAUCGUGGGACCUGUAAUUCGGGAAAGGGACUUGGAUUUUCCUAUUGUAAACAUAAGCAAAAGUCCUCUUCCACCCGUAUUAUAUUGUUUCCUAGGGGUUCUACGAUAAGAAUGGAAAUACAUUCAUGAGGAAAAAAGGAUCUACAGGAACAGAGCCAUGUGUCUGGGGAUGUCCCUCACCUAUCCACUCAUCUAUCCCAGGGUCCAUGCCAGCAGCCAUCUAGUCUACCACAGACGGGGUCGGCUCUGCACAUCACUUUAGAAAGACCAUCUAUUUAGGGAACUCCAAAGCCACAUCCUGAAUUUUGGUAAUUGUGUAAAAGCCAGUUUCCUCCUCAUCGCCUAUACUAAAAAGCACUUUUCACAAGGGGAGCGGUUUUCUUCUGUUCACUGGGGUAUGCGGAAAUGCUGGGUACCAA